rnacentral:rRNA from 1 species
ACUCACCAGGUCAGGACACGGUAAGGAUUGACGGACUGAAGGCUCUUUCUCGAUUCCGUGGAAAGUGGUGCAUGGUCCGUUUUUGGUUGGUGGAUCGAUCCGUCUGGUUAAUUCCGUUAACGAACGAGACCUCGGCACUCCGAAUAGCGCGGCGGACGUCGCGGCCUCCGGGCCGUCUUCCGCACGAGCUUCUUAGAGGGACCGUCCCCCGCCGGGGAAGGAGGUGCGAGGCAACGACAGGUCUGUGAUGCCCUUAGAUGUUCUGGGCCGCACGCGCAUUACACUGACGCGUCCAACGGGUGACUCCCGACCCGAAGGGGCCGGGGAAUCCGCAAGGCGCGUCGUGAUGGGGAUUGAACGUUGCAAUUGUUGUUCACGAACGAGGAAUUCCUAGUAGGCGCGGGUCAUCAACCCGCGCCGAUUACGUCCCUGCCCUUUGUACAC